rnacentral:rRNA from 1 species
AUUGAACGCUGGCGGCAUGCUUUACACAUGCAAGUCGAACGGCAGCACGGGAGCUUGCUCCUGGUGGCGAGUGGCGAACGGGUGAGUAAUGCACCGGAACGUACCCAGUAAUGGGGGAUAACACAUCGAAAGAUGUGCUAAUACCGGAUGUGCCCUUACGGGGAAAGAUUUAUCGCCGAAAGAUCGGCCCGCGUCUGAUU